rnacentral:rRNA from 1 species
CACGUAGUUAGCCGUGGCUUUCUGAUUAGGUACCGUCAAGACGUGCACAGUUACUUACACAUUUGUUCUUCCCUAAUAACAGAGUUUUACGAUCCGAAGACCUUCAUCACUCACGCGGCGUUGCUCCGCCAGGCUUUCGCCCAUUGCGGAAGAUUCCCUACUGCUGCCUCCCGUAGGAGUCUGGACCGUGUCUCAGUUCCAGUGUGGCCGAUCACCCUCUCAGGUCGGCUACGUAUCGUUGCCUUGGUAAGCCAUUACCCCACCAACUAGCUAAUACGGCGCGGGUCCAUCUAUAAGUGAUAGUAAAACCAUCUUUCACUUUAGAACCAUGCGGUUCUAAAUAUUAUCCGGCAUUAGCCCCGGUUUCCCGGAGUUAUUCCAGUCUUAUAGGUAGGUUACCCACGUGUUACUCACCCGUCCGCCGCUAACGUCAAAGGAGCAAGCUCCUUAUCUGUUCGCUCGACUUGCAUGUAUUAGGCACGCCGCCAGCGUUCAUCCUGAGCCAGGAUCAAACUCU